UACAAUGUAUCGAUCAGGCACAAAAACAGGAUGGCGGAGGCGUACUUUAGGAAACCUGCUUGCAGGCUGCGCCCUGGCAACAACCUUGCCGCCCGUGCCCUUUGCGCUCAUUGGAGAGAUACCUAGGUCAAGAAACCGCAAUAACAGGAUGUGUCCUAGAGUAUAUAUACAGAGUGCUGUAAACAAGGUUAGAGAGAGCUUUUCCAUCCUGCUCUCCCCGGACAAGGUUAGAGGGCUUUUCCAUCCUGCUCUCCCUGGACAAGGUUAGGGCUUUUCCAUCCUGCUCUCCCCGGACAAGGUUAGGGAGCUUUUCCAUCCUGUUCUCCCCGAACAAGCUGCUUGCCCCUGAUAAUAAACUUGCUGAAAGCUGUCUGUGUUGGUGUGUUCGUCCUUGCUGGUCGGCGGCCGAGCGACACCGACAACUGGUGCCGAAACUCGGGAACUUCAGGAUCCCCUCUCAAGACUGCUUUCAGCUGACAGGUAAGCCGCCCCCCGAGCCGGGGGUUGUCCGUGUAGCCCCACCAGGUAGAUAAGUGGUGGGGGAGACUUCUGCGGUAGGCGCAGAGCUUGCAAGGGAGGAGAAGGGAUCCGGCUCGCGACAAAAAUGAGGGCCCGCAUUCAAAGCGGGGGAGGAAAAGGGAUCCAGGAAAAGGGAUCCAGCUCGCGACAAAAGCGAGGGCCCGCGAUCAGAGCGGGGGAGGAAAAGGGAUCGGCUCGCGACAAAAGCGAGGGCCCGCGAUCAGAGCGGGGGAUUGUGUACACGGGUCAUUGGUGACGACCAUAGUGGCGGGUGUUAGUCUUUUGUUAAGUGUGUGUACUGUCUUGUGCUCGUGACCCGUUUUGUUGUAUCUGUCUUGAGUCUGUGUGAGAACAGCGGUUUGUUGCCUGUCCUCGUUCAAUUAUCUAACAGCCGGUGGCACAAAGAGUGCCACCGUUGGGUUUUUGUACGGAAAUGGGGAAUGAAACCUACCAAGUGCGGCUUCAGGCCCCGCUGCAGGUACUGUUGAAAGGCAAUGGUACCCCUUUGAAAGGUAAAACUGCCAGGGCUUUUGUGAAGGCAGUGACAGUAGCCUCCCCUUACAACUCACAAAUAAAUAAAAAAGGGGGAGCUACCCUGGCCUUUCGCCGAAUAGCCGCAUGAAUAGCCGCAUAAACGACAAAAAAAAAAAAUUCAUUCAAAAAUUCAUUAAUAAUUUCAUUUAAAAAUUUGUUAACUGGCCACUGACGUGGCUCAGACCCGGUUCUCAUCUGGAACCGAGGUGCAGUUUGUGUUUCUCCACAGGACCAGAGCUCCCGGUGUGGGUCCCGGAAAGACUCACCCGUCCAGUGAACCCCUCAGACGAUGAAGCCGCGCCCAUGGAGCCACAUCGAAGCGCGACUUCGGAGUCACCGCGGCCCUUGUCACGGCCAUUGCCAUAGCCCUCGCAGCCGCCGCCACCGCCGCAACUGCUGCCCUUGCCACAGCAGUCCCUACUGCUACCGCUGUCAACCAAUUGUCCGCCUCAGUUGCGGAGGCCCUGCGCACCCAAACCGCUGCAGACGGACACAUUCGCGCUGGACUGUUAUUGGUCAAAGAGUGGACAUUUUACAACAACAAAUAGAUGAUAUGGAGAGAUACCUCUCCUUUGGUUGUUUAGUUCCCCUGCCCUCCUUGUGUGUUACCCCCAUAACUUUUGAACCUAAUGGUACCCUGUGUAAUGCUUCCUUGCAACUAUCCCGUUAACUUCUGGGGAGCUGGGAUGCGGAAUUUGAAAACCUCACCUGCCAAAUGUUGAAUCAUAUUGUUAGUAUCAAUAGCACUCGAGUACAAGUAAUUACCGCUCACGAUAUUCUAGGAAAAGUAACUAGUUUGUUCUCCCAUGCCCGCAAUUGGGCCGGCACCACGGCUUUAAGUAUUAUACUUCUAGUUGCCAUAGUCUUUUGCAUCAAACUUCUCCUUACCCUCCGCCAAAAACAACAACCAGACCGCAUCAUCCUCCAGCAGGCCCUCCUCGCCCUCCAAGCAGGAGGUUCCCCCCAAAUCUGAAUUAGCAUGCUGGACCAGUAGCCAAUGACGGGUAAGAUCCCCCCCAAUGUAGAUCAACCUAAGACAGAGGACAGGCCACCGCUGCCUGUACCCUCCAUGACGGGUAAGACUAUACUCGGACAGGGGGACAACCUAAGACAGGCAUGGUCACAGCUCGCAAUAAAUAAAUAAAAAGGGGGAGAUGUGGAGGGCCCUUAUACAAUGUAUCGAUCAGGCACAAAAACAGGAUGGCGGAGGCGUACUUUAGGAAACCUGCUUGCAGGCUGCGCCCUGGCAACAACCUUGCCGCCCGUGCCCUUUGCGCUCAUUGGAGAGAUACCUAGGUCAAGAAACCGCAAUAACAGGAUGUGUCCUAGAGUAUAUAUACAGAGUGCUGUAAACAAGGUUAGAGAGAGCUUUUCCAUCCUGCUCUCCCCGGACAAGGUUAGAGGGCUUUUCCAUCCUGCUCUCCCUGGACAAGGUUAGGGCUUUUCCAUCCUGCUCUCCCCGGACAAGGUUAGGGAGCUUUUCCAUCCUGCUCUCCCCGGACAAGCUGCUUGCCCCUGAUAAUAAACCUGC